CACACGCUUAGACUUUUGGGAGUUGUAGUACUAAUCCAAUCAGAGUUGGAACCAUGGCGGUGACCAAGGAGCUCUUACAAAUGGACCUGUACGCGCUAUUAGGUAUUGAAGAGAAGGCGGAGGACAAAGAGGUGAAGAAGGCAUAUAGACAGAAGGCCCUCUCCUGCCACCCAGACAAAAAUCCGGAUAAUCCGAAAGCAGCUGAACUCUUCCACCAGCUUUCUCAGGCCUUGGAGGUACUGACCGAUGCUGCCGCCAGGGCUGCUUAUGACAAGGUCAGGAAAGCCAAGAAGCAGGCGGCAGAGAGGACCCAGAAACUUGAUGAGAGAAGGAAGAAAGUAAAGCUCGACCUGGAGGCGCGGGAGCGGCAGGCCCAGACCCUCGGCAGCAAGGAGGAGGAGGAAAGCGGGAGCACCAGGACACUAGAGCAGGAGAUCGAACGCCUUCGAGAAGAGGGUUCCCGGCAGCUGGAGGAACAGCAGAGGCUGAUCCGGGAGCAGAUACGUCAGGAACAGGAGCAGAGGUUGAGAGGAAUGGCAGAAAAUCCUGAAAACAAAGAAACCCCCAAGCUAAAGCUCAAGUGGAAGAGCAAGAAGGAAGCUGAGUCACAAGGCGGCUAUUCCAGAGAUGUCCUCCUGCGGCUUUUUCAGAAGUACGGAGAGGUGCUCAACCUGGUACUUUCCAGUAAGAAGGCAGGCACCGCUGUGGUAGAGUUUGCAACCGUCAAGGCUGCGGUGAGUGCUCUCUGGGGCUUUGGGGGCCACCAGCAGCCCUGCCAUUCCAGGGGAGGAACUCAAUUCUGUGGGCCCUCUGAGCUUAGGUGUCCCCACUCCUUGGGCCAGCUCAGAGCCAAGAUUUCCCCGAGGUCCGCAGGUCCUGGGAGAGGAGGCACAGUGAGUGAAGGAAUGGAUUGGAGAAUGUUCCAUGGAUGGUGUCAUUUCCUACUGCCUGGCUCCACACCUUCCCUUGGAAGCCGGUGUGCCUCCAGGAGCUGGCUGUCCAGAAUGAAGUGGGCCUGGUCGAUAACCCUCUGAAGAUUUCCUGGUUGGAGGGACGGCCCCAGAGCACGAUGGGCCACCACCACCCAGGACUGUCCCAGGGCUCGGUGGUGUCCGAGAGGGACUACGAGAGCCUCGUCAUGAUGCGCAUGCGCCAGGCAGCUGAGCGGCAACAGCUGAUCACCCAGAUGCAGCAGGAGGACCAAGCGGGGCAGCCCACGUAACCUCCUGCCUCCAGCCCUCCCCUCCCACAGCCCUUUUCUUAAACAUCACCAAUAAACUUUAUGUUUUUUAAGA